rnacentral:tRNA from 1 species
GUCCAGGGGCGGGAAUCGAACCCACACCCUUCUGCUUACCGGGCAGGUGCCUUGUCCACUCUGCUACCCUGGA